UACCGUUAUCUCUUAACCUUUGGGGUUUAUGCUUCCCACUUCCAGAAGGUGAUGGCAACUUUAUGGUCUUUGCAUUUGUCCUUAGGCCAUCUGUGAGCUGUUGGGACCUAAUCAGCUCAUGGCUUUGAUGGAUCUGCUCUUAAGUAAAGCUUUGCAAAAACUGGGAAGUGUCGCAUUGAAGCUCUUGAAUUUGGACCACUUCCAGGCCUGACAUCCAGAAACUCAUCCCUAUGGGUGGCAAAUAUAAAGAGGCUGGAUGCAAAGGAGGAAGCAUGGUAAAGGCAGCAUCUUCCCAGG
rnacentral:lncRNA from 1 species